UACGGAGGAUGCGAGCGUUAUCCGGAUUCAUUGGGUUUAAAGGGUGCGCAGGCGGGCCUUUAAGCCGGCGGUGAAAUCGCGGGGCUCAACCCCGUCGAGCCGUUGAAACUGGCAGACUUGAGUUGGCGAGAAGUACGCGGAAUGCGCGGUGUAGCGGUGAAAUGCAUAGAUAUCGCGCAGAACUCCGAUUGCGAAGGCAGCGUACCGGCGCCAGACUGACGCUGAGGCACGAAAGCGUGGGGAUCGAACAGG
rnacentral:rRNA from 1 species